GCACAACGCGAAGAACCUUACCUGGUCUUGACAUAGUAAGAACUUUCCAGAGAUGGAUUGGUGCCUUCGGGAACUUACAUACAGGUGCUGCAUGGCUGUCGUCAGCUCGUGUCGUGAGAUGUUGGGUUAAGUCCCGCAACGAGCGCAACCCUUUUCCUUAUUUGCCAGCGGGUUAAGCCGGGAACUUUAAGGAUACUGCCAGUGACAAACUGGAGGAAGGCGGGGACGACGUCAAGUCAUCAUGGCCCUUACGACCAGGGCUACACACGUGCUACAAUGGUCGGUACAAAGGGUUGCUACCUAGCGAUAGGAUGCUAAUCUCAAAAAGCCGAUCGUAGUCCGGAUUGGAGUCUGCAACUCGACUCCAUGAAGUCGGAAUCGCUAGUAAUCGUGGAUCAGAAUGUCACGGUGAAUACGUUCCCGGGUCUUGUACACACCG
rnacentral:rRNA from 1 species